AUUGAACGCUGGCGGCAGGCCUAACACAUGCAAGUAGAGCGGAGCGGCGGACGGGGGAGUAAUGCCUAGGAAUCUGCCUGGUAGUGGGGGAGAACGUCCGGAAACGGGCGCUAAUACCGCAUACAAUCAGAUGAGCCUAGGUCGGAUUAACUAGUUUGUGGGGUAAAGGACUACCAAGGCGACGAUCCGUACCUGGGCUGAGAGGAUGAUCAGUCACACUGGAACUGAGACACGGUCCAGACUCCGACGGGAGGCAGCAGUGGGGAAUAUGGGACAAUGGGCGAAAGCCUGAUCCAGCCAUGCCGCGUGUGUGAAGAAGGUCUUCGGAUUGUAAAGCACUGUAAGUUGGGAGGCGUUACCAACAGAAUAAGCACCGGCUAACUUCGUGCCAGCAGCCGCGGUAAUUC
rnacentral:rRNA from 1 species